rnacentral:rRNA from 1 species
UACGGGGGGAGCAAGCGUUGUUCGGAUUUACUGGGCGUAAAGGGCGCGUAGGCGGCGUGACAAGUCACUUGUGAAAUCUCCGGGCUUAACUCGGAACGGUCCAAGUGAUACUGUCGUGCUAGAGUACGGAAGGGGCACUGAGUCAUGUGGUAGCGGUGAAAUGCGUAGAUAUCGAGAGGAACACCUGCGGCGAAGGCGGGU